rnacentral:rRNA from 1 species
AUGUGAGUCAUUGUAGCAAUACAAGGCAGACGGCUCAGUAACACGUAGUCAAUCUACCCUAUGGACGGGGAUAACCUCGGGAAACUGAGGAUAACACCCGAUAGAUCAUAAUUCCUGGAAUGGUUUAUGGUCCAAACGAUUCGUCGCCAUAGGAUGGGACUGCGGCCUAUCAGCUUGUUGGUGAGGUAAUGGCCCACCAAGGCUAUUACAGGUACGGGCUCUGAGAGGAGAAGCCCGGAGAUGGGUACUGAGACACGGACCCAGGCCCUAUGGGGCGCAGCAGGCGAGAAACCUUUGCAAUGUGCGCAAGCACGACAAGGUUAAUCCGAGUGUUUCCUGCUUAAGGAAUCUUUUGUUAGUUGUAAAACCACUAUCGAAUAAGGGGUGGGCAAGUUCUGGUGUCAGCCGCCGCGGUAAAACCAGCACCUCAAGUGGUCAGGAGGAUUAUUGGGCCUAAAGCGUCCGUAGCCGGUUUGGUAAAUCCCUGGGUAAAUCGUAACGCCUAACGUUACGACUUCCGGGGAGACUGCCAGACUUGGGAACGGGAGAGGUUAGGGGUACUUGCGGGGUAGCGGUGAAAUGCUAUAAUCCUGCAGGGACCACCAGUGGCGAAGGCGCCUAACUUGAACGUGUCCGACGGUAAGGGACGAAACCCUGGGUCGCGAACGGGAUUAGAUACCCCGGUAGUCCAGGGCGUAAACGCUGCAGCUUGGUGUUGGGGAUCCCGCGUGGGUGCCCAGUGCCGGAGUGAAGAUGUUAAGCUUGCCGCCUGGGG